rnacentral:rRNA from 1 species
AGAGUUUGAUCCUGGCUCAGAUUGAACGCUGGCGGCAUGCCUUACACAUGCAAGUCGAACGGCAGCACGAGAGCUUGCUCUUGGUGGCGAGUGGCGAACGGGUGAGUAAUAUAUCGGAACGUACCCUAGAGUGGGGGAUAACGUAGCGAAAGUUACGCUAAUACCGCAUACGAUCUACGGAUGAAAGUGGGGGAUCGCAAGACCUCAUGCUCAUGGAGCGGCCGAUAUCUGAUUAGCUAGUUGGUGGGGUAAAAGCUCACCAAGGCGACGAUCAGUAGCUGGUCUGAGAGGACGACCAGCCACACUGGAACUGAGACACGGUCCAGACUCCUACGGGAGGCAGCAGUGGGGAAUUUUGGACAAUGGGCGCAAGCCUGAUCCAGCAAUGCCGCGUGAGUGAAGAAGGCCUUCGGGUUGUAAAGCUCUUUUGUCAGGGAAGAAACGGUGGACUCUAAUACAGAUCACUAAUGACGGUACCUGAAGAAUAAGCACCGGCUAACUACGUGCCAGCAGCCGCGGUAAUACGUAGGGUGCAAGCGUUAAUCGGAAUUACUGGGCGUAAAGCGUGCGCAGGCGGUUGUGCAAGACAGAUGUGAAAUCCCCGGGCUCAACCUGGGAAUUGCAUUUGUGACUGCACGGCUAGAGUGUGUCAGAGGGGGGUAGAAUUCCACGUGUAGCAGUGAAAUGCGUAGAGAUGUGGAGGAAUACCGAUGGCGAAGGCAGCCCCCUGGGAUAACACUGACGCUCAUGCACGAAAGCGUGGGGAGCAAACAGGAUUAGAUACCCUGGUAGUCCACGCCCUAAACGAUGUCUACUAGUUGUCGGGUCUUAAUUGACUUGGUAACGCAGCUAACGCGUGAAGUAGACCGCCUGGGGAGUACGGUCGCAAGAUUAAAACUCAAAGGAAUUGACGGGGACCCGCACAAGCGGUGGAUGAUGUGGAUUAAUUCGAUGCAACGCGAAAAACCUUACCUACCCUUGACAUGUCUGGAAUCCUUGAGAGAUCAGGGAGUGCUCGAAAGAGAAUCAGAACACAGGUGCUGCAUGGCUGUCGUCAGCUCGUGUCGUGAGAUGUUGGGUUAAGUCCCGCAACGAGCGCAACCCUUGUCAUUAGUUGCUACGAAAGGGCACUCUAAUGAGACUGCCGGUGACAAACCGGAGGAAGGUGGGGAUGACGUCAAGUCCUCAUGGCCCUUAUGGGUAGGGCUUCACACGUCAUACAAUGGUACAUACAGAGGGCCGCCAACCCGCGAGGGGGAGCUAAUCCCAGGAAGUGUAUCGUAGUCCGGAUUGUAGUCUGCAACUCGACUACAUGAAGUUGGAAUCGCUAGUAAUCGCGGAUCAGCAUGUCGCGGUGAAUACGUUCCCGGGUCUUGUACACACCGCCCGUCACACCAUGGGAGCGGGUUUCACCAGAAGUGGGUAGCCUAACCGCAAGGAGGGCGCUCACCACGGUGGGAUUCGUGACUGGGGUGAAGUCGUAACAAGGUA